rnacentral:rRNA from 1 species
UUGAAAGGGAAACGAUUGAAGUCAGUCGUACCUGUGGGUAAUCAGCCUUUUGGGUGUGAUUUUGUGGAGUGUGAGGAGUUAAACGCCUUCAUGCCUGCAUAUUCGUGCACUUUGGGUGUAUUUACCCGUGUGGUAAGUUAACAUCAAUUUCGGUGGUCAUAAAAUGGCUGGAGGAAUGUAGCUUCGAUCUUGUAUUGAAGUGUUAUAGCCUUCGGUAGAUGUGAUAGUCGGGAUUGAGGAUUGCAACGGAUACCCCUCGGGGCUACCUGUCUGAUCUCUGAUCGUUGCUCUGGUGCCGAAAGCUUGCUUACGGUUAUCAAAGUCGAUGGUCAAUAGGUUAGAACGGGUUAAAUUCGUUAAGGAUGUUGACGUA